AAUGAUCUUAGUUUCCUCUUUAUAAGCUGUAGCAUUUUUCAAAUGUUACACAGUAAUCACGUUCCUGUUAUAAAAGCAGAAAAAAUUAUCAGGAAGAAAAAAAUGUACUGUCUUUAAUCUUAAAAAAAAAAAAGAAAAGAAGAGAAAGUCCUAAAAGCGCCUGGCCCAGAGGAGGCACCAGUCCCAUCUUGCUUCGCUCCCUGCUUGCCUUCAUGCAGUUGCAGCUUUCUUAUUUAUUAUUUUUGUAGGCACAUAGUAGGUGUGUAUAUUCAUGGGGUAGCAGCAGCUUAAUUUAUUUUUGUGGGCACAUAAUAGGUGUGCAUAUUCAUGGGGCAGUGACAGCUUUAUUUUAUUGUUUUUGUGGGCAUAUAGUAGGUGUGCAUAUUCAUGGGGCAGCGGCAGCUUUCUUAUUUACUUUAUUGUUUUUGUGGGCACAUAGUAGGUGUGCAUAUUCAUGGGGCAGCGGCAGCUUUCUUGUGCUUGCUCUACCCUCAAUGAAGCCAGACAGUGGCAGAUCCUCCCCGCCAUAGUCAUGUUGCAUCUGUUUGCAAAUCAUUCUGCUCUUUGGUUUUCUUUCUUCAGACUAAACAGUCCCAAUUGCAGUCACUCUUUCAUCUGAAUCCAGUUGUUUUUCAGGUCAAAUCCUAUCACAGGCAGUUCUACAAGGGAAUGCCACUAGUUGUUCGGAAAUCUAUUGUAUUGAAUGCACGCUUGAAAUUAGGAAGCUGGUAAUAAUGGUCAGAAGAUUUGCUCUAGACCAUGUUCAGUGGUUGGCUUUAAAUGGUGAUCAAGUCCAGUGUUUUACCCUGAAAACUGGAUUGCAGAGUGGUUAAAGGCCUGGGAGACUCGUGCUGAGACCAGAGGCAGUGCUGUGGCCUGGUGCUCUCACACGCUGAUGGCCUUUCUCUGUGGCCACUCACCCAAGUCACUGCCACCACCCAGAGGAGGGGCUUAUAGGACACACAGGUGGAGAUGGCUAGGAGGUACUUGCAGGAAGUCUGCUAGCUGCGUAUAAAUUGUCCUUCUUUCGCAGCAGAACUCUGAUUUUUAGGUGGGCAUAUUGCCACCCAUGCAAAAAACAAAAACUUCCAGCCUCCCUGCAGUUAAGUGUGAUGAUGAGACCAAGUUCUGGUUGGUGAUAUGUUAGCUGCAGGAUGUGUGGGACUUCCAGGAAGUCCCUUUAAGAAGGAGUUCAAUCUUUUUUCUCCUUCCUUCUGGUGGCCUGGAAUAUGGGUGUGAUAGCUGGAGCUCCAGGGCUUACCCUGGACCAUGAAGCCAAGGACCACAUAAGGGUGGAUAAAGCAAAGAGCCAGAAGAAGCAGGGUCCCUGACGAAUCGUAGGUGUGCCUUGAACUGCCUUCCUGUGGAUGUCUUUUACAUGAGUGUGUUUAAGCCACCAUUUUUCAGAAAUAAACAUGCAAUUCCUAACCAAUAAUCAAUUUGUUACCAGAAAUGGAGUCUGCCACAACGGAACCUAAAAUGUGACAUGUGCUCAGCGGACAAGGGGGAAGGUCAAUAUUAAGGAUUCAAAUAUUGUAGCUGGAAUUUAAAAUAUGGCUGCACAGUUCUUGACAUGCCCUCCAUCCAGAGAUGGGUUCAUUGUCCCCUCCCCUUGAAUCUGGACUGGCUUGUGACUACUUCUGCCAAUAGAUUUCCAUGGAAGUGGAGCUACGUAACUUCUGAGGCUAAGUCAUAAUGGGCCAUGCUGCUGCCACUGUAACAGACACUCUUGGAACCCUGAGUGCCAUUUAAGAAGACUGACCAUCCUGAGUCCAUCAUGCUGGGGUCACCAAGGUGCUCUGAUUGACACUCCUAGCUGGGAUUGCCUUUCAUCUUUCACAGACUUCCCAGCCCAGGCACCAGACACAGGAGUGAAAGAGUCGUUGGACGAGGGCCCUUCAGCCCAGGCUGUUCCCAGAUCCCAACCACUGGAGUCCUCACCAGCAGUUCAGAUCAUCUGACCUGUGGCCCCAAACAUGGAGCAGUUAUGCCCUUUUCAAAUUCCUGACCCACAGAAUCUGUGAGCAUAAUAAAAUGGUGGUUAAUUUAUGCCAUUAUACAUUGAGGGCUUUUGAUGCUCAGCAGUAGAUAACUGGAACAGCUGGUAAUUCUUACUAUGUUAAGAUAAAAGUUUAGUUCUUUUUCACAGAGAAGAAGUCCAGACAUAGGCAGUCCAGGACAAGUUUGGUCACUUUGUAGUCAGCAAGAACGCAGAUUCCUUUAUCUUCCCUGCUGCCUGGAAUGUGGACAUGAUGGGUGGGGCUCCAGCAGCAAUAUUGGACCAGAUGGUAAUCUUGAGGAUGACAGAAGAGAGCAGAAAGGAGCUUUGGUCUCUGAUAAUAGAGAAAUAACUCUCUCUCUUGUUUAAGCCACUGUAAUUUUAGAUCUUCAGGUUAUACGGCAAAAGCAUUGCUAAUAGGCACAGAAUUGGAAUUCAUGGGUUUAGAACCAGGAGAUUGGCUUGGCUAAAGCUAAAAGGUUAAGAAUUUUCAAAUUAGAAGCAGUAGUUGAAGUCCUGGGUAUAAAUGAGGUUGCUUAAGGAGAGUACAGAGUGAGAAGAGGAAAGAGCUAAGGAGCCUCGAGGAAUGGCAGCAGUUAAAAGAGAGGCCAGAGGAGGGGCUCCCACCUUUCCAGGGGAAGAAACCCGAGACAGAAGGUGUUCAGUGAACACGACUUCUUCCCCUCUGUGGCUGGGUUGGGAGCCCUUCCUAUGCCUCUUCUGGACACAGCUAACAUGCAGCUUUCUCUUCAUAUCACAAGGGCUCUGUUUUACAUGAGGGCCUCCCACAUGGGACCAGAAGGAACCUCCUUAAAGUUUGGAAUCAAUUGUUAAUUCUUCUUGUGGCCCCAGUGCCUACAACAGUGACUGGCAUGUAAUGGGCAGGCAGUAGUUAUUUGCAAGCUGAACUGAAUUGAACUGCUUUUGGCAAGGAAGUCCUGGGAAGGGAAGGUUUCCAGAAGGAGGGAGUGGUCUGCGGUGCAAACACUGAGAACAAUCAAGUCAGAUAAGGCCUUUACAAGACUGGUGGGUUUGGCUCAGUGCAUCUGGCAAUGAGGAGGCCAUUGGUGACCUUGAGGAGAAGUGUUUUCGUGGGGAGGCAGCGGGGACAGGGUAACUGGUGUGUGGGAGCGGGUGGGGUGCUGGUUGCUCUUUUGGGAAGAAAGGGUGGAGACAAGGAGGGACGGGUUUCAUUCAUUUUGUCAAUUUCAUCAUCUUCAUCAUAGGCAGAGAGCAGGGAACUGGGAAGGGAGCCUCCCCUGACUUCUGCAGGAUACCAUGUGCUUGCCCUGUCAGAGUUGAUGACACUUUUGUCAUUUCCUUAGCCAACUCACCAUUUAACUUCUCAUGUAUGCAUAACAAUCUUUUCAUGGUUUUCUCCCGAACCAAAAUGUAAGUUCCUGGAAAGCAGAGACUGUUUACAGCUUGCUGUGCACAAAGUAGGUGUUUCGUUGGUGUUAACUGCCUCUGUUUCCUCUCAAGCAAUGUUUCCUGAAAUAUACCUGAGCUUGGAACAGCAUGGAUCUGUACGAGCUGGUGCCCCACUAGUUGAUGACAUGGCUUCAUGAAAACAGAGGAGCACCUCACCACUAGAAGAGACCCUUGCAGUAGGAAACAAAGCUGCAUGAGAAAAGGUCUUCCUCCAGCUGCAGCACCUGCUUCAGGGCCUUGGCCACCACGACCUUCCGCUUCUGCAGAAACUCCAGCUCUGCUGGGCACAGGCUGAAGCCCAGCCGCACGUCCAGUGUCUCAGGGCUGGAGGGAGAGAGGACCCUGUAUUGGGCCUGCAGCCUCUACCUCCCUGGAGUAGACACAGCUUCAGGGUCCAUUGGACCUAGGCUCAAAGCCUACUUCUGCCAGCGACCACUUCUGUGACCUUGGGUCUCCACUUUCCCAUCUGUAAAGUGGGGCGAAUCGUGCUGAACUCUCAGCACUGUCUUCAGCACUUAAAGAGAUAACAAAUGCAAAGCCCCCAAAGCCUUAGCUGGCACAAUGCGAGCUGGUACUCAACAAAAGAUAACUGUUGGCACUGUGUUAGGGACGCUUUGAGUCCUCUGUCUCCUCGGCCAGAUCUGGAAAGUCCAGAAAGUCUUCCCCCAGGUGGCUUCUCUAGCCCAGGGCCAGGCAUGGGUGACAAAAGGCGCUGAGAUCAUUUUGCCAAAUCCCUCUGAACAAGGCCCCACGGUAUGGACUCUUCUGUGCUAGGUAAACAAACUCCCUGUUCCUAUGGAGCUCACGUUCUUCAAUGAGCUCUUCCUGCUCCUAGAAUAACAAUUAUUCUGUGUGUGUGUGCAAUUGACAAAAACCAUCCCAUUCCUGAUCUCAUUGUGUCACCUCAUAGUCUGCAGGCAGGUGGGGCAGGCACCUCUGUGACAUGCACAAUGCUUGUCCUCUUUUUUUUUUUUAAUCACAUCCCUGCCCCAAACAAGUCCAGGCUCCUGGCCUGGCAUCCAAGACCCUGCCUGAUCUUUCCAAGCUCACCUCAAACUACCCGCGAAACUUCUGGGUCAGGUCCCAGAGCUCCCAGAAGCAGUCCUGUUUCCGGGUCUUGGCACAGGCCCCUGCCUUCACCAGAAGUGUCUUCCCUUUGCCCACCUCCAGCCUGUGCAUCCUCUGAGGCCCAGCUCCCCAGUGACUCCAGAUGAAUGUACCUUGACCAUUUCCAACUGAGCCUUGGCUCACUGACAAAGCCACAUCUCCUUGAAGGCUGGGCCUAGGAGAUUUCCAUCAUGUCUCCUCUUUGUCCAGCACAGGGCUGCAGACAUGGCUGUUAGAAAAUAAUUCUUUCUUUGGCCUCAACAGGGAAUGAAUAAUAAUAAUACAACAACAAUAAUAACAAUAACAUUAGCUGACGUUUGCUGAGCAUCCCACUUGCCAGAUGGAUUACUGAGUACUUCGCACGUGCUGUCUAGCUGGAUCCUCAGAGCAACCCAGUGAUGCACAGGAUCCUUGUUAUUCUCCCAAUGUACAGAUGAGGAAAACAGAGACUCAGUAAGGGCAAAGAGCUUUUCCAAGGGCAAAUAGCUAAUCAAACUGUCAAUAGAAAUCAUGGCCACUUGAUUUCUGACAAUCAAGAUUUCUGAAAACGAUGUUGUUUUCAGCAGAUGGUGCUGAGACAUCUGGAUAUCCACAUGCCAAAGAACGAGGUUGAGCCCCUCUUUUACACCAUGUAGAUUGAUUACCUAAAAAUUGAUCAUAGACCUAAAUGUGAGAGCUAAAACUAAACAAGUCUUAGAAAAAAACAUGGGAAUAUAUUUUCAGGACUUUGGUCGGGCGCGGUGGCGCACGCUUGUAAUCCCAGCACUUUGGGAAGCCGAGGAGGGUGGAUCACUUGAGGUCAGGAGUUCGAGACCAGCUGGCCAAUACGGUGAAACCCCGUCUCUACUGAAAAUACAAAAAUUAGCCAGGUGUAGAGGUGUGCAUCUGUAAUCCCAGCUACUGGGGAGGCUGAGGCAGGAGAAUCGCUUAACCCAGGAGACAGAGGUUGCAGUGAGCUGAGAUCACACCACUGCACUCCAGCCUGGGCGACAGUGAGACUCCAUUUCAAAAUAAAAUAAAAUAAAAUAAAAUAAAAUAAAAAUUUCAGGAC
rnacentral:lncRNA from 1 species